rnacentral:lncRNA from 1 species
GCCCAAGGUGACCGUGAAGAACUCAUCCACUGGAAUACCCUUUUUAAAACGUCUACAGAGUCUGGUGAUUCACUCUGGCAAUGGAUAUAUGAACAUUUGGAACUUACUGAAAAACAUGUGCUCAACAUCUGGAAUGACGGGUACAUUAUGGGGUUUUUGAGUAAGGAGAGAGAGAGAGGGCUUUGUUGAGAGACAAACUCCCAGGCACUUUCCUUCUGCGCUUCAGUGAAAACUCUCGAUGUGGAGGACUCAUCAUCACAUGGGUGGAGCGUUCACAGGAUGGUUUGUGCUG